rnacentral:rRNA from 1 species
UACGGGGGGGGCAAGCGUUGUUCGGAAUUACUGGGCGUAAAGGGCUGGUAGGCGGCCAACUAAGUCGGAUGUGAAAUCCCCAGGCUUAACCUGGGAACUGCAUCCGAUACUGGUCGGCUUGAAUCCGGGAGAGGGAUGCAGAAUUCCAGGUGUAGCGGUGAAAUGCGUAGAUAUCUGGAGGAACACCGGUGGCGAAGGCGGCAUCCUGGACCGACACUGACGCUGAGGCGCGAAAGCCAGGGGAGCAAACGGG